UACAGAGGUCUCAAGCGUUGUUCGGAUUCAUUGGGCGUAAAGGGUGCGUAGGCGGCGCGGUAAGUCGGGUGUGAAAUUUCGAGGCUUAACUUCGAAACUGCAUUCGAUACUGCCGUGCUUGAGGACUGGAGAGGAGACUGGAAUUUACGGUGUAGCGGUGAAAUGCGUAGAUAUCAGGAGGAACACCGGUGGCGAAGGCGCCACUCUGGGCCGAAACUGACGCUGAGGAGCGAAAGCGUGGGUAGCAAACAGG
rnacentral:rRNA from 1 species